CCUGCGGCGUGCCUAUCAUGCAAGUCGAGCGGACAGAAGGGAGCUUGCUCCCGGAUGUUAGCGGCGGACGGGUGAGUAACACGUGGGUAACCUGCCUGUAAGACUGGGAUAACUCCGGGAAACCGGAGCUAAUACCGGAUAGUUCCUUGAACCGCAUGGUUCAAGGAUGAAAGACGGUUUCGGCUGUCACUUACAGAUGGACCCGCGGCGCAUUAGCUAGUUGGUGGGGUAAUGGCUCACCAAGGCGACGAUGCGUAGCCGACCUGAGAGGGUGAUCGGCCACACUGGGACUGAGACACGGCCCAGACUCCUACGGGAGGCAGCAGUAGGGAAUCUUCCGCAAUGGACGAAAGUCUGACGGAGCAACGCCGCGUGGAGUGAUGAAGGUUUUCGGAUCGUAAAGCUCUGUUGUUAGGGAAGAACAAGUGCGAGAGUAACUGCUCGCACCUUGACGGUACCUAACCAGAAAGCCACGGCUAACUACGUGCCAGCAGCCGCGGUAAUACGUAGGUGGCAAGCGUUGUCCGGAAUUAUUGGGCGUAAAGGGCUCGCAGGCGGUUUCUUAAGUCUGAUGUGAAAGCCCCCCGCUCAACCCGGGGAGGGUCAUUGGAAACUGGGAAACUUGAGUGCAGAAAAAGAGAGUGGAAUUCCACGUGUAGCGGUGAAAUGCGUAAAAAAUGUGGAAGAACCCCAGUGGCGAAGGCGACUCUCUGGUCUGUAACUGACGCUGAGGAGCGAAAGCGUGGGGAGCGAACAGGAUUAGAUUCCCUGGUAGU
rnacentral:rRNA from 1 species